rnacentral:rRNA from 1 species
CCCUUAGAUGUUCUGGGCCGCACGCGCGCUGCACUGAUGCAUUCAACGAGCCUAGCCUUGACCGAGAGGUCCGGGUAAUCUUUGAAACUGCAUCGUGAUGGGGCUAGAUUAUUGCAAUUAUUAAUCUUCAACGAGGAAUGCCUAGUAAGCGUGAUUCAUCAAAUCGCGUUGAUUACGUCCCUGCCCUUUGUACACACCGCCCGUCGCUCCUACCGAUUGAGUGUGUUGGUGAGGAGUUUGGAUUGGCCUCGGAAGGUGGUUCGCCACCGUCCGUAGCUGAGAAGUUCUCCAAACCGCCCCACUUAGAGGAAGGAGAAGUCGUAACA